AUAUUUAUAAGUAUAAUCUGCUCAAUGAAAUUUUAAAUAGCCGCAAAUUUGACUGUGUUAAGGUAGCAUAAUCACUUACCUUUUAAUUAAAGGUCUGUAUGAAAGAUUGAACAAUUAGAUUUCUUUUUUAUAAAUUUUUAUUAAACCUAAAUUAAAAAUAAAAAUGUUUUUAUAAAAAAAAUAGACGAUAAGACCCUAUUGAACUUCACUUUAGUUUAGCUGGGGAAGCUAAUUAAAUAUAAUUUUAAUUAUCAAACUUGAAUAUAUUUCUAAUAAAAUUAUUAUAAACAAGUUACCAUAGGGAUAACAGCGUAAUAUAAUUUUAAAGAUCAUAUUAAAGAUUAAGUUUACGACCUCGAUGUUGAAUUAGAAUAUCUUAAAGAUGCAACAAUCUUAGAAGAAGGUCUGUUCGACCUUUGAAAUUCU
rnacentral:rRNA from 1 species